AAUUAGUUGUUUAAUACAAGACCAGUUUAUUUCUUGCUAUUCCAAACCUAUUAAAGAUGUUCCCGCCCUGCAGGUGGCCUGCUACAUGGUCCUUCAGAAACCAAACUCCUUCCAUAUUACAGCCCUGUCCUCCUCUAGAUCCUCAGUCCUUUCCAGCGUGGUCCAGUUGUUGAGGAAAGGGUUGGAGGGUUGCCAUGGGGGGUUUGCCGGUGCCAGGUCUGGAAGUGGUGCAUGUCCGUUCUACUCAUACUUCACUAGCUGGAGCUCAGACAAAUGACCACAGGAAGGCUGGUAAAUAUGGUUGAGCAUUCAUGCUUCCAGAGCUUCCUUUCUGUUGAUCAGGGAUUACGGGAAUGAUGUUUUAGAAAUUUGGUCACCUGGUUUGUAAAGUAAGGUCUUCCUGGGCAGAGUUUUGCUUUUCCCUUUGUCUUCUGAGGUAGAUUUAUAGGCAGCUCUUGUUAUUUACACUCCUGGAAUUCACUCUGCCGUGUGGCUGAUUAUGUCCGGAACCCAUUGAUAAUUCCUCAUGUCAACGUUGGGAAUGCAAGCACAGACAACACCUAAACAGAGGCCAGCCUGCCUUUUCUUGGAGGUGGGCCAAGGAAUGGUUAUGGGAGCGUGAAAGCUCUUCUCACAAUUCUAGUUCUUCCCCAGUGCAUGGAGUAAUGGAAGGGCCCCA
rnacentral:lncRNA from 1 species